AUUGAACGCUGGCGGCAUGCUUUACACAUGCAAGUCGAGCGCCCCGCAAGGGGAGCGGCGGACGGGUGAGUAACGCGUGGGAACGUGCCUCUUGCUACGGAAUAGCCUCGGGAAACUGGGAGUAAUACCGUAUGUGCCCUACGGGGGAAAGAUUUAUCGGCAAGAGAUCGGCCCGCGUUGGAUUAGGUAGUUGGUGGGGUAAUGGCCUACCAAGGCUGUGAUCGAUAGCUGGUCUGAGAGGAUGAUCAGCCACACGGGAACUGAGACACGGUCCCGACUCCUACGGGGGCAGCAGUGAGGAAUAUUGCACAAUGGGGGAAACCCUGAUGCAGCAACGCCGCGUGGAGGAUGACGGCCCUUGGGUUGUAAACUCCUUUUCUGUGGGACGAGAGAGGACGGUACCACAGGAAUAAGUCACGGCUAACUACGUG
rnacentral:rRNA from 1 species